ACCCUCUCAGGAUCACACCUGGAGAGUUUCCACUACUUUAUCAGUCUUGGCUACAGGAGGGAGAGUCAAGCAGAGGCCCAUCCAUUCUAUUCCUAACUUGGACAGUGGCUAGCGAGUAGAAGGCCAUUUGCUACAAGU